UACGUAGGGUGCGAGCGUUAAUCGGAAUUACUGGGCGUAAAGCGUGCGCAGGUGGUUAUGUAAGACAGAUGUGAAAUGCCCGGGCUUAACCUGGGAACUGCAUUUGUGACUGCAUGGCUAGAGUGUGUCAGAGGGGGGUAGAAUUCCACGUGUAGCAGUGAAAUGCGUAGAUAUGUGGAGGAAUACCGAUGGCGAAGGCAGCCCCCUGGGAUAACACUGACGCUCAUGCACGAAAGCGUGGGGAGCAAACAGG
rnacentral:rRNA from 1 species